GGUUCGGUGGCGUAGUUGGUUAUCGCAUCUGUCUAACAUUAUUUGCUUCACCACAGAAGGUCCCCAGUUCGAGCCUGGGUCGAAUCA
rnacentral:tRNA from 1 species